rnacentral:rRNA from 1 species
AUGAGCUUCAGCUUACACAGGAUGAGGUUUCUAUUCCUGACUCUCCUACCCGGGGUUGAGCCAUCCACUCUCUCUCAUUUUCCUAUUACCUACUCUCGUCGUUCUCAUCACCCUUCUCCCUCUGAUGCGCCACCUUCCACUUCCCCUCUCUCUCCGCUUCCUUUCAUCUACUCCCGUCGUGCUCAACACCCUUCUCCCUCGGAUGCACCCACUUCCACUUCCACUCCUUCCCUGUUGGGUCCCAUUCCUUCAGAACCACCUACCCCUCCUGCUCCUCGGUAUAAUCUGCGUGAUCGCCACACUCUCCAGCCUCCUGCGUACUAUGUUGCUGCUGCUACUCUUGUUGAGCCGUCUACGUAUCGUGAGGCUGCUGCUCAUUUUGAAUGGCAGGAUGUUAUGGCAGAGGAGAUUCAUGCUCUUGAGCGCACAUGCACUUGGGACCUUGUACCCCUGCCUACAGGCGUUAGACCCAUCACUUGCAAAUGGGUCUACAAGGUUAAGACACAUUUAGAUGGUUCUCUCGUGCGCUACAAAGCUCGUCUUGUUGUGCGUGGCUUCCAGCAGGAGUAUGGUCGUGACUAUGAUGAGACUUUUGCUCCUGUUGCUCACAUGACCACUGUUCGCACUCUUUGGCUGUUGCUGCUGUUCGGCAGUGGUCCAUCUCUCAAUUAG